rnacentral:rRNA from 1 species
CCUACGGGAGGCAGCAGUGAGGAAUAUUGGUCAAUGGGCGGGAGCCUGAACCAGCCAAGUCGCGUGAGGGAAGACGGUCCUAUGGAUUGUAAACCUCUUUAGGCGGGGAGCAAUGCCGGGCACGCGUGCCCGGAGGGAGAGUACCCGCAGAAUAAGCAUCGGCUAACUCCGUGCCAGCAGCCGCGGGAAUACGGGGGUUGCGAGCGUUAUCCGGAUUGAUUGGUUUUAAAGGGUGCGUAGGCGGAUUUUUAAGUCAGCGGUAAAUUGCCUGGGCUCAACCCGGGCCGGCGGUUGAAGCUGGGGAUCUUGAGUGGGCGGAAAGCAGGCGGAAUUCGUCGUGUAGCGGUGAAAUGCUUAGAUAUGACGAAGAACCCCGAGUGCGAAGGCAGCUUGCUGCAGCGGAACUGACGCUGAUGCUCGAAAGCGCGGGUAUCGAACAGGAUUAGAUACCCGGGUAGUC